UCGUAACAAGGUUUCCGUAGGUGAACUGCGGAAGGAUCAUUGUCGAAACMUGAAAAAGC
rnacentral:rRNA from 1 species